rnacentral:misc_RNA from 1 species
GAUGAAGAACGCAGCGAAAUGCGAUAAGUAAUGUGAAUUGCAGAAUUCAGUGAAUCAUCGAAUCUUUGAACGCACAUUGCGCCCCUUGGUAUUCCGAGGGGCAUGCCUGUUCGAGCGUCAUUAUAACCCUCAAGCUCAGCUUGGUGUUGGGGCCUGCUGCACUGGCAGCCCUUAAAAUCAGUGGCGGCGCCAUCUGGCUCUAAGCGUAGUAAUUCUUCUCGCUAUGGAGUCCUGGUGGAUGCUUGCCAUCAACCCCCAAUGUUUCUAUGGUUGACCUCGGAUCAGGUAGGGAUACCCGCUGAACUUAAGCAUAUCAAUAAGCGGAGGA